CUGAGUGUUUGUAGGAUUUGUUCUUACCUACGCAUAAAUCCAGGAUAAGAAGAAAUUGGUGAAUGCCACAAUCUUCGUAAAAUGUUCGUAAGUGGGACUUAAGAACAAAUUUGUUCGUAAGAACGUUUCGUGAAUCUGGCCCAGGCUGAGCGGAGCAGCUUCCAGACUCUCCCCCGUCGGGCGAUUGACACACACCUGUAAAUGAUCUCCAGCCAAUCAUCCACACCUGCUGUUCGCUUUAAAAGCCUGUUCAACUCUCCAAUCAUCGCCAAUUCGUUGUUAACCCCCCCAUGGUACAGCCUGGAUUCUCAAACGCCGUAUGCAAGUUUGUGUUUUCGUUCCUGUUUUCCAGUUUGGAACUGAUUGUUCGUCUCUCCCGCAGAUCGCCUUUCGGACGCCUGUUCGCGCUGCCCAGCCUGCUCCAGCUUGACCAUGUUUGUCUGCUUUCAGCACCACUUAGUUUUGCUCUGAACCAGAUUUUCACUGCAGCAGAAAAGGCCAAAAGACCUGUGAAACAGAGCCGGCCAGCUUCUGCACACAAGUAUGUCAGACGCACCACUCCAUCGUUGAUGGCAAGAUCGCUGUCUGAACCACACAUCGAGGUUCCGGUAGCGGCUCCCGAGAGGACAACCGCCGUGAUGGAUGCAGCGCCUCAGCCCUGUCGGCCCACAGCAACAUCGGCAGCACAACCGGAGGUGACAUACGAGCGAUGGCACCAAAUGUGGGAGUCUGCUCCCAAUGGGCUGAUGUUGCAUGGCUGAAAGAGAAUGAAACCAAUGGACUCUUCCAGAGGGCUGCAUCCUUUCAGGACAAACAUGAAAAGAUGAAGUGGAGGAAGGUCCUGAAGGAUGACAGGAUGUGGUUUCAUCCUGUGGUUUCAGACAUACUGUCCAAACAGCAAAAAGUCAUCUCCAGGACUUGAAGGCCAGACUUUUGACACUUUUGCAGACUUUCAAAGGGCUGUGGACAUUCUUUUGGGACCUAAUUUCCAGGUGUAAGCAAAGAAAAUUGGAGUGUUUUAUUGACUGCACUUGACAAUAAAUGCUUCUUUGAAU
rnacentral:lncRNA from 1 species